rnacentral:tRNA from 1 species
GGGGACGUCGUUUAGCCCGGAAAAGACCCUAGAUUGUCAAUCUAGUGAUCGUGGGUUCAAAUCCCAUCGUCCCCGCCA